rnacentral:rRNA from 1 species
ACACUCCUACGGGAGGCAGCAGUGGGGAAUUUUGGACAAUGGGCGAAAGCCUGAUCCAGCAAUGCCGCGUGUGUGAAGAAGGCCUUCGGGUUGUAAAGCACUUUUGUCCGGAAAGAAAUCCUUGGCUCUAAUACAGUCGGGGGAUGACGGUACCGGAAGAAUAAGCACCGGCUAACUACGUGCCAGCAGCCGCGGUAAUACGUAGGGUGCGAGCGUUAAUCGGAAUUACUGGGCGUAAAGCGUGCGCAGGCGGUUUGCUAAGACCGAUGUGAAAUCCCCGGGCUCAACCUGGGAACUGCAUUGGUGACUGGCAGGCUAGAGUAUGGCAGAGGGGGGUAGAAUUCCACGUGUAGCAGUGAAAUGCGUAGAGAUGGGGAGGAAUACCGAUGGCGAAGGCAGCCCCCUGGGCCAAUACUGACGCUCAUGCACGAAAGCGUGGGGAGCAAACAGGAUUAGAAACCCCGGUAGUCCCAUGAU